AGGGCGGGGCGGCAGGGCUUCGGAGGGGCGGGGAACGGGGGAGGGCGAGUUGAGUGGCUAGCACCACCAGCAGCCCCUCACCUCACCUUCCUAGCAAUCAGGCCACACCUCCCAACCUACAGGAGGAUUCCACACACCACGCCCCUUCGGGGGACUGACCGGAGCGGUUACUCAGGUGAAGGAAACUAAGGCUGGGAGAGCAGAACCUCCAACCGGCCUCGGCCAUCUAGACCCCUAAGGCGGACAGACAAUAGCUGGAUGUCAGGAUGGAGCCUGAAACACUUGGACUCCCCCUAAAAACAAUCCCGAUGGGUACAGGAUCCUCCAGUGACCCCUUAAGGAGGGGCCCAAGGUGUUGAAGGGUUUGCUGAGAGCCACCCAUUUUGGGACACCUGUGCAUGGAUUCACCAGCCAGUGCUGAGCUGAGGCUCCAGCUUAAAGCACCAUUCCAACUUACCACACUGCACCCCACCCCACCCAGAGCUUCAGGACUAAUGAAGAGGCAGGUGAGGAGCCAGGCCUCAGUACCUGGACCAGAACGCCCUGGACAGACGCAUUAGGAACUCCAAGACACUGGGCUCAGAAUCUGCAGGCACUUUGAGGGAGAAGAACUGAGAACUGGAACUCCCUGAGGAAGGCUUGUAGGGAAGGGGUGCUGGAGCCCAGCCACUCAGCCUUGAUUCUGGGUGACCCGAGGACCGACAUAAAAGGGUGUUAACUUAUUUUGAAA